CGAGGUGUAGCGCAGUCUGGUCAGCGCAUCUGUUUUGGGUAGAGAGGGCCAUAGGUUCGAAUCCUGUCACCUUGA
rnacentral:tRNA from 1 species